rnacentral:misc_RNA from 1 species
AAUCAUCAAAACCCUUUUCCUUUUUGGAAAAGGAUUUUGGACUUGGAGGCUUGAUGCUCGCUUUCACUUUUUGAAAGCGAGCUCCUCUCAAAUGAAUUAGUGGGGUUUGCUUUGUCGAUCCUUGACGUGAUAAGAUGUUUUUACGUUUUUGAUUUGGCACUGCACCUGCUUCUAACCGUCUCACGGACGACGAUGGUGCUUCGGUCACCGCCAUCCACAUUGGCGGGAGGCUGGACCCACCAAAAAA